rnacentral:rRNA from 1 species
GGUUAAGCGACUAAGCGUACACGGUGGAUGCCCUGGCAGUCAGAGGCGAUGAAGGACGUGCUAAUCUGCGAUAAGCGUCGGUAAGGUGAUAUGAACCGUUAUAACCGGCGAUUUCCGAAUGGGGAAACCCAGUGUGUUUCGACACACUAUCAUUAACUGAAUCCAUAGGUUAAUGAGGCGAACCGGGGGAACUGAAACAUCUAAGUACCCCGAGGAAAAGAAAUCAACCGAGAUUCCCCCAGUAGCGGCGAGCGAACGGGGAGCAGCCCAGAGCCUGAAUCAGUGUGUGUGUUAGUGGAAGCGUCUGGAAAGGCGCGCGAUACAGGGUGACAGCCCCGUACACAAAAAUGCACAUAUUGUGAGCUCGAUGAGUAGGGCGGGACACGUGGUAUCCUGUCUGAAUAUGGGGGGACCAUCCUCCAAGGCUAAAUACUCCUGACUGACCGAUAGUGAACCAGUACCGUGAGGGAAAGGCGAAAAGAACCCCGGCGAGGGGAGUGAAAAAGAACCUGAAACCGUGUACGUACAAGCAGUGGGAGCACGCUUAGGCGUGUGACUGCGUACCUUUUGUAUAAUGGGUCAGCGACUUAUAUUCUGUAGCAAGGUUAACCGAAUAGGGGAGCCGAAGGGAAACCGAGUCUUAACUGGGCGUUAAGUUGCAGGGUAUAGACCCGAAACCCGGUGAUCUAGCCAUGGGCAGGUUGAAGGUUGGGUAACACUAACUGGAGGACCGAACCGACUAAUGUUGAAAAAUUAGCGGAUGACUUGUGGCUGGGGGUGAAAGGCCAAUCAAACCGGGAGAUAGCUGGUUCUCCCCGAAAGCUAUUUAGGUAGCGCCUCGUGAAUUCAUCUCCGGGGGUAGAGCACUGUUUCGGCAAGGGGGUCAUCCCGACUUACCAACCCGAUGCAAACUGCGAAUACCGGAGAAUGUUAUCACGGGAGACACACGGCGGGUGCUAACGUCCGUCGUGAAGAGGGAAACAACCCAGACCGCCAGCUAAGGUCCCAAAGUCAUGGUUAAGUGGGAAACGAUGUGGGAAGGCCCAGACAGCCAGGAUGUUGGCUUAGAAGCAGCCAUCAUUUAAAGAAAGCGUAAUAGCUCACUGGUCGAGUCGGCCUGCGCGGAAGAUGUAACGGGGCUAAACCAUGCACCGAAGCUGCGGCAGCGACGCUUAUGCGUUGUUGGGUAGGGGAGCGUUCUGUAAGCCUGCGAAGGUGUGCUGUGAGGCAUGCUGGAGGUAUCAGAAGUGCGAAUGCUGACAUAAGUAACGAUAAAGCGGGUGAAAAGCCCGCUCGCCGGAAGACCAAGGGUUCCUGUCCAACGUUAAUCGGGGCAGGGUGAGUCGACCCCUAAGGCGAGGCCGAAAGGCGUAGUCGAUGGGAAACAGGUUAAUAUUCCUGUACUUGGUGUUACUGCGAAGGGGGGACGGAGAAGGCUAUGUUGGCCGGGCGACGGUUGUCCCGGUUUAAGCGUGUAGGCUGGUUUUCCAGGCAAAUCCGGAAAAUCAAGGCUGAGGCGUGAUGACGAGGCACUACGGUGCUGAAGCAACAAAUGCCCUGCUUCCAGGAAAAGCCUCUAAGCAUCAGGUAACAUCAAAUCGUACCCCAAACCGACACAGGUGGUCAGGUAGAGAAUACCAAGGCGCUUGAGAGAACUCGGGUGAAGGAACUAGGCAAAAUGGUGCCGUAACUUCGGGAGAAGGCACGCUGAUAUGUAGGUGAAGUCCCUCGCGGAUGGAGCUGAAAUCAGUCGAAGAUACCAGCUGGCUGCAACUGUUUAUUAAAAACACAGCACUGUGCAAACACGAAAGUGGACGUAUACGGUGUGACGCCUGCCCGGUGCCGGAAGGUUAAUUGAUGGGGUCAGCGCAAGCGAAGCUCUUGAUCGAAGCCCCGGUAAACGGCGGCCGUAACUAUAACGGUCCUAAGGUAGCGAAAUUCCUUGUCGGGUAAGUUCCGACCUGCACGAAUGGCGUAAUGAUGGCCAGGCUGUCUCCACCCGAGACUCAGUGAAAUUGAACUCGCUGUGAAGAUGCAGUGUACCCGCGGCAAGACGGAAAGACCCCGUGAACCUUUACUAUAGCUUGACACUGAACAUUGAGCCUUGAUGUGUAGGAUAGGUGGGAGGCUUGGAAGUGUGGACGCCAGUCUGCAUGGAGCCGACCUUGAAAUACCACCCUUUAAUGUUUGAUGUUCUAACGUUGACCCGUGAUCCGGGUUGCGGACAGUGUCUGGUGGGUAGUUUGACUGGGGCGGUCUCCUCCUAAAGAGUAACGGAGGAGCACGAAGGUUGGCUAAUCCUGGUCGGACAUCAGGAGGUUAGUGCAAUGGCAUAAGCCAGCUUGACUGCGAGCGUGACGGCGCGAGCAGGUGCGAAAGCAGGUCAUAGUGAUCCGGUGGUUCUGAAUGGAAGGGCCAUCGCUCAACGGAUAAAAGGUACUCCGGGGAUAACAGGCUGAUACCGCCCAAGAGUUCAUAUCGACGGCGGUGUUUGGCACCUCGAUGUCGGCUCAUCACAUCCUGGGGCUGAAGUAGGUCCCAAGGGUAUGGCUGUUCGCCAUUUAAAGUGGUACGCGAGCUGGGUUUAGAACGUCGUGAGACAGUUCGGUCCCUAUCUGCCGUGGGCGCUGGAGAACUGAGGGGGGCUGCUCCUAGUACGAGAGGACCGGAGUGGACGCAUCACUGGUGUUCGGGUUGUCAUGCCAAUGGCACUGCCCGGUAGCUAAAUGCGGAAGAGAUAAGUGCUGAAAGCAUCUAAGCACGAAACUUGCCCCGAGAUGAGUUCUCCCUGACUCCUUGAGAGUCCUGAAGGAACGUUGAAGACGACGACGUUGAUAGGCCGGGUGUGUAAGCGCAGCGAUGCGUUGAGCUAACCGGUACUAAUGAACCGUGAGGCUUAACCUU